UUAAGCGACUAAGCGUACACGGUGGAUGCCCUGGCAGUCAGAGGCGAUGAAGGACGUGCUAAUCUGCGAUAAGCGUCGGUAAGGUGAUAUGAACCGUUAUAACCGGCGAUUUCCGAAUGGGGAAACCCAGUGUGAUUCGUCACACUAUCAUUAACUGAAUCCAUAGGUUAAUGAGGCGAACCGGGGGAACUGAAACAUCUAAGUACCCCGAGGAAAAGAAAUCAACCGAGAUUCCCCCAGUAGCGGCGAGCGAACGGGGAGCAGCCCAGAGCCUGAAUCAGUGUGUGUGUUAGUGGAAGCGUCUGGAAAGGCGCGCGAUACAGGGUGACAGCCCCGUACACAAAAAUGCACAUACUGUGAGCUCGAUGAGUAGGGCGGGACACGUGGUAUCCUGUCUGAAUAUGGGGGGACCAUCCUCCAAGGCUAAAUACUCCUGACUGACCGAUAGUGAACCAGUACCGUGAGGGAAAGGCGAAAAGAACCCCGGCGAGGGGAGUGAAAAAGAACCUGAAACCGUGUACGUACAAGCAGUGGGAGCCUCUUAAUGGGGUGACUGCGUACCUUUUGUAUAAUGGGUCAGCGACUUAUAUUCUGUAGCAAGGUUAACCGAAUAGGGGAGCCGAAGGGAAACCGAGUCUUAACUGGGCGUUAAGUUGCAGGGUAUAGACCCGAAACCCGGUGAUCUAGCCAUGGGCAGGUUGAAGGUUGGGUAACACUAACUGGAGGACCGAACCGACUAAUGUUGAAAAAUUAGCGGAUGACUUGUGGCUGGGGGUGAAAGGCCAAUCAAACCGGGAGAUAGCUGGUUCUCCCCGAAAGCUAUUUAGGUAGCGCCUCGUGAAUUCAUCUCCGGGGGUAGAGCACUGUUUCGGCAAGGGGGUCAUCCCGACUUACCAACCCGAUGCAAACUGCGAAUACCGGAGAAUGUUAUCACGGGAGACACACGGCGGGUGCUAACGUCCGUCGUGAAGAGGGAAACAACCCAGACCGCCAGCUAAGGUCCCAAAGUCAUGGUUAAGUGGGAAACGAUGUGGGAAGGCCCAGACAGCCAGGAUGUUGGCUUAGAAGCAGCCAUCAUUUAAAGAAAGCGUAAUAGCUCACUGGUCGAGUCGGCCUGCGCGGAAGAUGUAACGGGGCUAAACCAUGCACCGAAGCUGCGGCAGCGACGCUUAUGCGUUGUUGGGUAGGGGAGCGUUCUGUAAGCCUGCGAAGGUGUACUGUGAGGUAUGCUGGAGGUAUCAGAAGUGCGAAUGCUGACAUAAGUAACGAUAAAGCGGGUGAAAAGCCCGCUCGCCGGAAGACCAAGGGUUCCUGUCCAACGUUAAUCGGGGCAGGGUGAGUCGACCCCUAAGGCGAGGCCGAAAGGCGUAGUCGAUGGGAAACAGGUUAAUAUUCCUGUACUUGGUGUUACUGCGAAGGGGGGACGGAGAAGGCUAUGUUGGCCGGGCGACGGUUGUCCCGGUUUAAGCGUGUAGGCUGGUUUUCCAGGCAAAUCCGGAAAAUCAAGGCUGAGGCGUGAUGACGAGGCACUACGGUGCUGAAGCAACAAAUGCCCUGCUUCCAGGAAAAGCCUCUAAGCAUCAGGUAACAUCAAAUCGUACCCCAAACCGACACAGGUGGUCAGGUAGAGAAUACCAAGGCGCUUGAGAGAACUCGGGUGAAGGAACUAGGCAAAAUGGUGCCGUAACUUCGGGAGAAGGCACGCUGAUAUGUAGGUGAAGUCCCUUGCGGAUGGAGCUGAAAUCAGUCGAAGAUACCAGCUGGCUGCAACUGUUUAUUAAAAACACAGCACUGUGCAAACACGAAAGUGGACGUAUACGGUGUGACGCCUGCCCGGUGCCGGAAGGUUAAUUGAUGGGGUUAGCGGUAACGCGAAGCUCUUGAUCGAAGCCCCGGUAAACGGCGGCCGUAACUAUAACGGUCCUAAGGUAGCGAAAUUCCUUGUCGGGUAAGUUCCGACCUGCACGAAUGGCGUAAUGAUGGCCAGGCUGUCUCCACCCGAGACUCAGUGAAAUUGAACUCGCUGUGAAGAUGCAGUGUACCCGCGGCAAGACGGAAAGACCCCGUGAACCUUUACUAUAGCUUGACACUGAACAUUGAGCCUUGAUGUGUAGGAUAGGUGGGAGGCUUUGAAGUGUGGACGCCAGUCUGCAUGGAGCCGACCUUGAAAUACCACCCUUUAAUGUUUGAUGUUCUAACGUUGGCCCCUAAUCGGGGUUGCGGACAGUGUCUGGUGGGUAGUUUGACUGGGGCGGUCUCCUCCUAAAGAGUAACGGAGGAGCACGAAGGUUGGCUAAUCCUGGUCGGACAUCAGGAGGUUAGUGCAAUGGCAUAAGCCAGCUUGACUGCGAGCGUGACGGCGCGAGCAGGUGCGAAAGCAGGUCAUAGUGAUCCGGUGGUUCUGAAUGGAAGGGCCAUCGCUCAACGGAUAAAAGGUACUCCGGGGAUAACAGGCUGAUACCGCCCAAGAGUUCAUAUCGACGGCGGUGUUUGGCACCUCGAUGUCGGCUCAUCACAUCCUGGGGCUGAAGUAGGUCCCAAGGGUAUGGCUGUUCGCCAUUUAAAGUGGUACGCGAGCUGGGUUUAGAACGUCGUGAGACAGUUCGGUCCCUAUCUGCCGUGGGCGCUGGAGAACUGAGGGGGGCUGCUCCUAGUACGAGAGGACCGGAGUGGACGCAUCACUGGUGUUCGGGUUGUCAUGCCAAUGGCACUGCCCGGUAGCUAAAUGCGGAAGAGAUAAGUGCUGAAAGCAUCUAAGCACGAAACUUGCCCCGAGAUGAGUUCUCCCUGACUCCCUGAGAGUCCUGAAGGAACGUUGAAGACGACGACGUUGAUAGGCCGGGUGUGUAAGCGCAGCGAUGCGUUGAGCUAACCGGUACUAAUGAACCGUGAGGCUUAACCUU
rnacentral:rRNA from 2 species